UACGUAGGGGGCUAGCGUUGUCCGGAAUCAUUGGGCGUAAAGAGCGUGUAGGCGGCCCGGUAAGUCCGCUGUAAAAGUCAAAGGCUCAACCUUUGAAUGUCAGUGGAUACUGCCGGGCUAGAGUCCGGAAGAGGCGAGUGGAACUCCUGGUGUAGCGGUGGAAUGCGCAGAUAUCAGGAAGAACACCAACGGCGAAGGCAGCUCGCUAGGACGGUACUGACGCUGAGACGCGAAAGCGUGGGGAGCAAACAGG
rnacentral:rRNA from 1 species